AUGACUCGGGGAGGGGCCACGCCGCCUCGGGGGCCGCGGCUCCCGCCUCAGGGAUGGCAGCUCCGCUUCACAGGCUCCCGCCUCAGGGGUCGUCGCCUCACGGGCCGCGGCUCCCGCCUCAGGGGUCAUAGCCUCAGGGGCUCCCGCCUCACGGGCUGCGGCUCCCGCCUCAGGGGUCGUCGCCUCAGGGACGGCGGCUCCCGCCUCAGGGGUCGUCGCCUCAGGGACGGCGGCUCCCGCCUCGGGGGUCGUCGCCUCACGCGCCGCGGCUCCCGCCUCAGGGCCGCCCCCUCACGGGCCGGGGAGGAGCCGCCGCCUGAGGCACCGCCCGCCGCCCCCGCCCGGGCGGCGCGGCCCGUCUCCCAGGUAGCUCCCUCCUCCUCCUCCUCCCCGCCGCCGCUGCCUCCUCCCUCCUUCCUUCCUUCCCUCCCUCCUCGCCCUGCCCCUCCGCGCACUCGCUCCGCGGCAGGCAGGCAGGCAGGCAGGCGGGCGGGCUGCGCGCAGCUCCGAGGUGCCGGCGCCGGUCCUCGCUGUCAUGGCUGCGGUGGGUGCUGCCGCGGGGCGGCUCGGCGGGGGCGGCCGGGGCCGGGGCCGGGGCGGGGGCGGUUGCUGUGGCGGGGGGGAGCGCGGCGGUGCCGGUGGCGCGACCUUGAUGUCUUCGCCUUUCCCGGGGCAGGUGACGAGGGGCACGGCGACGCGCCGCAGCCGCCUGAAGCGCUCCGACGGCAGCACCACCUCCACCAGCUUCAUCCUGCGGCAGGUGAGGCCGGGGCGCGGCCGCGGGGCGGUGCGGAGCGGAGCGGAGCGGGGCGGAACGGGGCGACCCGGCCCCGGCCCCGGCCCCGGCCCCGUGCGCGCCCUCGGGGCCGCCGCGCUUUGCUCCGCUGCGCUCCGCCGCCCGGAGCCUUCCUGCCCUCGACCGCGGCGUCGUGCGCGGCGCGGGGUCUCGGCGGCGCCCGCAGGCAUCUGCUGGGCUCCUCGUGGCUUUAUGCCUCCUCCUUCACUUAUCUAUCUCCCCCGGAAUGCGUAAAAUCGCAACUUAUUUUCAUACCCGGUGUCAGGCCAGCGUGCUCCGCCUUCCCUGCUGAAAUCCUGGUUUUGGGGGGGUUUUUUUGUUUUUGUUUUUCCCCCUCCUUACACAGCCUAAACAUCGUUUGCGGGAGCGGCGGGUUCUGGCUUCCCCGGCUCGCGCCGUGGAGCGCAAACGCAGCGAAAACUGGAACCAGCGCCCAGGAGUUAUUGGCCUUUUUUUUUUUUUUUUUUUUAUCAUUCUCGUAA
rnacentral:lncRNA from 1 species